rnacentral:rRNA from 1 species
GUAGGGAAUAUUGGGCAAUGGAUGCAAGUCUGACCCAGCCAUCCCGCGUGCCGGAAGAAGGCCCUCAGGGUUGUAAACGGCUUUUGACGGUGAAGAAUCGACAGGAUGCGUCCUGUUUUGACGGUAGCCGUUGAAUAAGCACCGGCUAACUCCGUGCCAGCAGCCGCGGUAAUACGGAGGGUGCGAGCGUUGUCCGGAUUUAUUGGGUUUAAAGGGUGCGUAGGCUGGAAGGUCAGUCAGCGGUGAAAAGCUGUCGCUUAACGAUAGUCUUGCCGCAGAUACUUCCUUUCGUGGAUGAGGAGGAGGCCACUGGAACGGAUGGUGUAGCGGUGAAAUGCAUAGAUAUCAUCCAGAACACCGAUUGCGAAGGCAGGUGGCUGUACCUUAAUCGACGCUGAUGCACGAAAGCAUGGGGAGCAAACAGGAUUAGAAACCCGAGUAGUCC